rnacentral:rRNA from 1 species
UUCCGGUUGAUCCUGCCGGACCCGACUGCUAUCAGAGUGGGACUAAGCCAUGCGAGUCGACGUAGCAAUGCGUGGCGAACGGCUCAGUAACACGUAGUCAACAUGCCCAGGGGACGUGGAUAACCUCGGGAAACUGAGAAUAAACCACGAUAGGUCACGAUUUCUGGAAUGGAUCAUGGCCUAAAUCUACAUGGCCCCUGGAUUGGACUGCGGCCGAUCAGGCUGUUGGUGAGGUAAUGACCCACCAAACCUAUAACCGGUACGGGCUCUGAGAGGAGAAGCCCGGAGAUGGGCACUGAGACAAGGGCCCAGGCCCUAUGGGGCGCAGCAGGCGCGAAACCUCUGCAAUAGGCGAAAGCCUGACAGGGUUACUCUGAGUGAUUUCCGCUAAGGGGAUCUUUUGGCACCUCUAAAAAUGGUGCAGAAUAAGGGGUGGGCAAGUCUGGUGUCAGCCGCCGCGGUAAUACCAGCACCCCGAGUGGUCGGGACGAUUAUUGGGCCUAAAGCAUCCGUAGCCGGUUCUGCAAGUCUUCCGUUAAAUCCAGCCGCUCAACGGAUGGGCCGCGGAGGAUACUACAGGACUAGGAGGCGGGAGAGGCAAGCGGUACUCAGUGGGUAGGGGUAAAAUCCUUUGAUCCAUUGAAGACCACCAGUGGCGAAGGCGGCUUGCCAGAACGCGCUCGACGGUGAGGGAUGAAAGCUGGGGGAGCAAACCGGAUUAGAUACCCGGGUAGUCCCAGCUGUAAACGAUGCAGACUCGGUGAUGGGCUAGCCUUGUGCCAGCCCAGUGCCGCAGGGAAGCCGUUAAGUCUGCCGCCUGGGGAGUACGGUCGCAAGACUGAAACUUAAAGGAAUUGGCGGGGGAGCA